GUGUUUUCCAAGUCCUAUGACUAUGCAUUCUGCUCGAGGGAUAUCGGUGGUGUAACAUGGAUAAAGCAACACAUUUUCCUGAAAAGAAUUAGAGCAAAAGGCAAGCAAGAAACGAAAUGAUGAUCGCACAAAUGCGUUUGGAGACGACGGACAUGCGAUGAACCUCCUCCACUAUGUGCUGCUGGCCAGUUUUCUCUUCAAUACAACAUUCGUGGAAGGGCGAGGAAAAGGAGGGUGCUCAUUGAGACCAAAAGCAGGAAACUGUACAAGUAAGCCUUGGUGGAACUACAACCCGGAAACACAGAGGUGUGAACUUAUAACGGAAGGAUGUCCUCGCAAGAAGCGUAACUAUUACCGUUCAUGCAAGAUAUGCGCAGAAGUGUGCAUCCUGCCGACGCAGUAAUUUCAAGGUUAAGCUAAGAUGAGUUUACUAAUAACGUAAAGUCACGCAAAUGCUGCUUGUACAGGGGGUAAAUGCACUAUGCUGGAGAACAUUUUUGGUCAGUAAGCGCAUGAAGAAGCAAACGUUAGUCUUUGUUAUUUUGCAAUUAUUCUGUAUAUUAGGUAUUAAAUUCAAUCGCGUUCCACGACAUUUUCAUUUUCAGUACUUUUACAGAGCCUGUGUACAGUUACAUUCGUAUUAAAUUUGCUAGCCAGUACGGUAAUGCCACGUUCAGGGGCGAUAAUUUAUACAUAAACAGAAACACCGGAUGUCC